rnacentral:rRNA from 1 species
UGCAAGUCGCACGGGGCCCGCAAGGGUCCAGUGGCGAACGGGUGAGUAAUGAAUCGCUAAUGUACCCCGGACUCUGAGAUAGCUACCCGAAAGGGUAGGUAAUAUCAGAUGACAUAACCGAUCCGCAUGGGUUGGUUCUCAAAGGUCCGCCGGUCUGGGAGCAGGCGAUUUCGUAUCAGCUAGUUGGUGAAGUAACGGCUCACCAAGGCGACGACGCGUAGCCGGACUGAGAGGUUGGCCGGCCACAUUGGGACUGAGACACUGCCCAGACUCCUACGGGAGGCUGCAGUAACGAAUAUUCCGCAAUGGGCGCAAGCCUGACGGAGCAAUGCCGCGUGUAGGAUGAAGCCCCUCGGGGUGUAAACUACUGUCAGGGGCUACCGAAUAAAUGAGGAGCCCCAGAGGAAGGGCCGGCUAACUCUGUGCCAGCAGCCGCGGUAAUACAGAGGGCCCAAGCGUUAAUCGGAAUCACUGGGCUUAAAGGGUGCGCAGGCGGACCUGUAAGUGCUUUGUGAAAUCCCACUGCUCAACGGUGGAAUUGCUCGGCAAACUACAGGUCUUGAGCCCGACAGGGGUCGUCGGAACGCUAGGUGGAGCGGUGAAAUGCGUAGAUAUCUAGCGGAACGCCAAGGUGAAGACAGACGACUGGGUCGGCGCUGACGCUCA